rnacentral:misc_RNA from 1 species
CCGGAGAGGACGGAUGCAAAAGGUGUGCGGAGUGUGAAUUGAGAAGCGAGAGCGAGCGAGUGUAGAAGCCGAAGAGUGUGAAUCGGGAAGUCGGAAGCCGUCUAUGAGAAUAAGACGUACAAGAAGCGAAUCUUCGAUAUUUGUAAAACAUUUGCAAUGACGAAGAUUUACGUCAGAUUCGUAGAAAUUCUAAACGAAUCGACAAGAAGGUAAUCCGUUCGCCGGAACUUUGCGUGCCACUUCAAAGAAGGCGAAAGACAAUGAUGCGAGCCGACAGUUUCCACGUGGGGCUUCGCGCCGAGUGAAUUGGAUCCAACGUCUCUUCGACGAUUUCUACGGACGUUUGCUUUCUGACAGACGUCACGAACCAUCUUUCCAAGGUCGAAGGAGUCAUCCGAGUGAAUCGAUGCUCCAUUAUUUGAAGAACGAAGGCCAAAGUUCAGGAUGACACGCGUAAAUUGUUUCGAGUAAAUUGUUUGGUAGAUGAGUUGGAAAAAUUUGGCGUUAUCGGGUUAAUCUCGACUAAUUCAUCGCGAUCACGCAAUCAUCCAACGAAUCAAGCGAACUAAGGAUCCAAGAUUUACGGUCCACCAGUAAAUGCUCUCUUCCUCCAAGAUCAAUCAAAUUAUAAAACAGUCAAGCGAACUACUUUUACAAUUUGUACGACGAAAAAUAACGUAGUGUAAUUCAAAUUGAAACUAGACGAUUCAUACACGUCUUAGAAAUAAAUUGCACGAUCUUCUAAUAAA